UCAAUGCGAAGGCUGCAGCCUCCGGAGGUCGCAUUUCUCGGCUGCAUACGUCAUCAAAACUGUCUUGUUUCAGAAUAUUAACAAUUAUAAAGUUGACUGUUAUUCUAAGUUAAUAGUAAAUUGUUUAAUAUGCUUAUGACUUGCGAAUCUAAUGGUCAGUUAACUUAAAUAACCCAGGGUUGAUGACGUAUGGACCCUGCAUAUGCGAGUGCGACGACCUCCGCAGGCUGAAACCAGUCUCUCGAGCUGAAAGAAAACGCAGCUGAGGAGAUAUGAGACUGCAGACAAGAGCCAUCGACCAUCGUUCCAGGAAACUUCCACCUAAACAGAUGCUGAGGCCCAGAUUUCCCUGCCAAGCACUCCAAGGCUCAUCAUGCUCGGAGAGUCCAUUCUGGGGGCACAAAAUGGAUGCUUUCCAUCGAGGGCAGAAUUGAGUGACCGCUGUGAUUUCACUUCUGCUCUAGCCAUGUAUGAUGCAGCCACUACAGUGGAAUUUAUCCAGAGGGUAGAGUCCAGCCCAGGAAGUCAACUAGUUCGGGUCCAGUUUUAAAAGAAUAAUAGUUCUGAAAAAAAAAAACGUCUUGGAGAAAAACAAUAUUCAGGUUUGAAAUCCUGCUGUAAAUGUAAAUCAUUUAAUUUUUAUGCAUUUGUAAUUUACCAGAAACAUUUUAAUAAAUAUUGAUUGUUUUGUGUGUUCAGAAAAGUGUUUUUGU